AGCAGAGUGGCGCAGUGGAAGCGUGCUGGGCCCAUAACCCAGAGGUCCUUGAUCGAUACCACGCUCUGCUA